rnacentral:rRNA from 1 species
GGCAUAUACAAAGAGAAGCGACCUCGCGAGAGCAAGCGGACCUCAUAAAGUAUGUCGUAGUCCGCAUAGGAGUCUGCAACUCGACUCCAUGAAGUCGGAAUCGCUAGUAAUCGUAGAUCAGAAUGCUACGGUGAAUACGUUCACGGGCCUUGUACACACCGCCCGUCACACCAUGGGAGUGGGUUGCAAAAUUAGUAGGUAGCUUAACCUUCGGGAGGGCGCUUACCACUUUGU